CUCAAAACAUAAAUUAGAUCAUAAACUCUAUCGAUUGUUUCAUCAUCAAAAUCCGAGAUUUAACACAUACAAGUCCUGACGUCUCACAGAAAGGUGCAACAAGCAAUUCAACAAACACUUAGAGAGAGAGCAAGGGAAACCAAGGACUUUGGAAGGGAAAAAGAUAGUCACAAGUCCACAAAUGACCACUCAACCGGGUGACAGGGUGUAAGGCACGUCUACGCACACUUUAUGUCAAACCAAAGUUCGAUUCAAACUCUAGUUGAGUUGAACUGAUCUUUGACCGGUAUCCAAUUUGAGUUGAACUUGAAUGAGACUUGAGCUGACUUGAAUCUGAUCAUUGAGCUCACAUUCGAGCUUGAGUUUGGUAUAGUUGGAUUGGGAUUGAUUUGGAGUUCGACUCGAACUCUGGUUGAGCUAAAUUUGAGUUCACUCAAACUCGAGUAGAUCGUACUGGAUCAAUAUCAGUCAUCUUAGCACCCUCGAACCCCCGAGUGGGAUUUAUCCAUCACUCAUUUUCAAAAUCUAAUCAACUUUUCCUUUUAUAGGUCCUUCAAGACCUCUAGAAGGUCGCCUUUAGACAGACCCCUUGUGGAUAGAUAUUGCAAUGAUACAUCACGACUCAGGCAAUUCCAACUAAAUAUCACCUUUUGAUGCCAUUGAAUAUUUUUAUAAAAAUAUUUUUAUAAAGUUGCCCUAGUAAAGUUGAAUAUUUUUAUAAAAAUAAAUAUAGAAAAAACACAUAUAUCUAAGUAGUAUAUCCAUCUUGUCAAAUGAGCGCAUUCAAGGAAAACAUAAUUCUGCUCAAAAUCCUAAAAGUAUUUGGUGAUUCUAAUAUUUUAUCUAAAUCAGAUAGUAUGAGGAACUAAUGCACACUUAGGUGAAUCUAACAAGUACCAUAUCCAGCUAGUAUUUAGAAUACAUAUGGCAAGAGAUUUUUAAGUACCCACAUUCAAUAGGUGGCAUCUUCGAGGGGGAUGAGCAACGCAUGCAAACUCAAUAACCUAUAAUCUAUCCUAAUUUGAUCCACAAAAUAAAUCCUUUCCUACAUCAUCCACUCUCCAAAAUGAAGUCAUACUUAUAGUCAGUUGCCUUUGGUGAAAAUCUAUCAAACUUCAAUUUAAUCUGCUACUCAUCCAUAUCAAGCUAACCCUAGUUGUACAACCAACUUAUUUUUUAAAAAUACAAUGGGAGAGGAAGAGGGGAGAAAAUAAAGAACAAAAAAUUAAAAGAAAAGUGAUCACCCAUUUUAGCAGUUGACUGUAAUAUACUUACAAUUAGGUAAUUUCUUGGAAAUUUCUGCAUUUAUUAUCACCCAUUUAGAAUGCUGGAUUGAGAGCAGUAUGUAAAUUUCUCUUCCAUCAAGCUUUGUGUACACAUUAUAAUUUCCUGAUAAAGAACUACAAUUUCUUCCCUUUUCUCAUUCUUUAUAAAAAAUAAAUAAAUAAACAAAACAACAAACUACAGUUGCUAAUAUAAUCAGAGAGUAAUAUCAGUCAAAUCUCUUCGAAACAGAGACAAUCUUCCACUUAUGUGAUGAAUUCAAGGUCGUGUUCAUGGAGACUGUUUUAAAGAAAGGAAAUAAAAUCUUGAUAACAAUAUCAUCUUAUAACCAAUUGUUGGAAAAUUAUUCCCCAUCUUCCACUGCCUUUAUCUCCUCACCCCCAGGAAAAGCCAUCACAUCAAUCCACAUAUGGUACCAGUCUUUAAUCACUUUUAGUUGCUACAGUUCACCUAAACUCAUCCUCAACAAACCAAUAGUUUUUCCAAAGACAGUGUACCAUAUUGACAUAAUAGUCAUAAGAUACAUAACAUAUCUUAAUGAAAAACAAACGUUCAAAAAGAAACUUCUUUUAAUUUGCAAUCACCCAUGUUUUGGUCACAAUAAUUUAAAUUGCAAAUGAAAUAUAGAAUUGCUUCACAUCAGUGAAAGUAGACUUGUAACAUGCCUGGAAAACUAUCAGUUUUUGGUAAAGAAUGUUAACUAUAAGCAUUUGGCAUCUUUUUUAAAAAAAAUUAAUGCCCCAAACUGCAAUCCCAUAUUUUUCAGAAACUUAAAACCUCUUUGGAAUUCAAAGACGACGUGCAUCGAUCUGGAAUAUAUUGAUGCAUCAUAAGGUUCGACAACUUAAUGGCUAGGAUUUUUCUAGUCACCAACACAAUUGACUUAUAUCUGACCUUUCUGGGUAACUUUUGGAUAGCCUAUGAAGAGAUCAUGAGCACCCAAACAAGCCUAAUGAUUGUUUCACAACAGUUGAAACAUGUGAAGUAUAAUGAUGUGUCUGUCAAUGCAAUAAAGAAUAUUCUUCUUAUUCUGUUAUGAUUAUCCCCAGAAGAGAAAAGUUGAUUCAGAACAUACGUAUAGACUGGAAAUGGCCACCCAAAAGGUCAAGAGAUCAGGCCAUUCAAGUCUAAUUUGUUGAUAUUCACCUAACUUGCUUAGAUAACAAAAUUUUGCCAUUCUUAGAUGGUGACCAUGAUCUGGAAAGCUAAAUUCAAGUCCAAUAUAUUUGACAAUAAGACUGACCCCAGUUUUCAGCAUCAAAAUCCAUUGUAUUGACGAUAAAUGGAGUCCAUGAAGGAACAAUUCAUGGAUUGGGAAUCUAAUUUUCUGACAAUAGUAGCAAGUAACAGUUCUGUUUGUUUACGAGAAUUUUCUAUUUAUUUCUUGGUUGAAAAAUACUAUAUUCCAACUUUAACAAUGUUUAGAAUUUGAUAAAGGAGGGAGACAAAAAUACUCAAUUACCAUUUUGUCAUUAUACUGAGUCUUAAUCUUCUUCUUGUCUACUAUUUGUGCAUGUUUUUCUCCAGCUCAAUAUUUCUUUUGAUCUAGCAUCAUAUGGGCUUGUUACAAUGUUACUAGUAGGAGCAUUAACAUUUACCCUUGUGAUAAGAUAAAACAAAUAAAAAGGGGUCAUAAGAUGAGAUGAGAGGUUGCGUGCGGUUGCAACAACCCAUCCAAACCUACGUGUAGGGUGGUUGCAACCCACGCAAUCUCAUUUCAUCGCACACGGUUGGCGUGAAGGACCUCCUCUUAUGCCUAUAUAAGGCACUAAGAUGCAGCGUUCAAAACCAUCCAAACCAGUGGAGAGUGCAGUGAGAAAUAGAGAAGGAAAGAGAAAAAAGAGAGAAGUGACGAGAGAGUCUUCUACUUCAUUUGGUUCCUCCCUUUUGGUUUGUGUUUCAAAUCAUAAUGACGAACCAAAAAGCAAAAAAAAAGAUGUGCAACGUAACCGACAAUAGGAAUAAACCCAAUUGCAACAGAUACAAGACAGCUGAAAGUCAAAAUCCGAUCAAUCUUCUACAAAAGCAGAAUUUUGAGUCCGAAUUGCGGAAGAUGAACGCAUUACCGGUAAGUUAUAUACCUGUCGAGCAUUGGAAGAGUCCUCCUGUGCCGCAACCGUUGCUGUUCCGAACCCCAGGAAGGAACAAAGGAAGCGUUUUCUGGCGCAGAGGAGACGAUGGGAAGGAGAACCGAAGAGAGGGCGAUGAGGAGCAGGACAAAGACGGCGUGAGGGCCAUCAGACUCUCCUCUCGUCCACCGUGCGCGCGAGCGAACUAGUUAUUGUUGAUUUAGUUAUGUAGCCUUCCGCGCUGACCUGGCUGUCUGGCUCGGUCGAUCAGCUUCGCGGUCAAUCACCCCAGCCAUCAUGGAUGCCUGAACAAUUUCCAAAACGACAUCGUUGAUUGCGCUCUUUAUUAAGCGCACUAGAUAAUAAGUUGCAAUCGAUCGGUGAUGCAUCGACCUGAUCCGCCCCGAUUGAACCAAAUUUGAUUGGUUAUUUUUUUCAGAGGAUAUAUAGUUUUCAAGGACACAAACCGCAUCACUUAUCCUGUCUUGGAAACACCGCGACCACUCGAGCAACAAGCACCCAUAGCCACCUUCUGCUCGUGAACGAUAACAGCAAACCAACUUAAAUCUUAGGUCGAGUAUAUGCAAACAGGAACUAUGCAAACUGACUGUAACAGGCAUCUCAAAAACUACUGAUUGACAGUCUACUUCAUUUGACAAAUGGGCAAAUUUAAGGUGUGUCUAAUACCAGUAAUAUCAGUUGAGAAAAUAAUAGGGGGAACAAGUUACAGGGCAUGACUGGCUGGUCUGUAUGACAAUUAUAAUACCAGUACAUGUACAUAUGUUGCCAGUUGCACCUCUGAAUAAAUGCUACUGUACACGUACCACUGCUCUGAGAAUACUACUGUAUACAAUUAACUUGCUAUUCCUGAACAACGCCUACCUCAGGUUCCAUGCGCCAAUGACUCUUGCUGAACUCCAACCUCGCAGUUUCAUCUUCAUGGGGCUUGGGUAGUUCUGGAACUUUGACAAGGUUCCUCUUGAUUGCACCAACCUCUCCAUUCAUGGCUCUCCUUACCUCAAUAUCUACACCAACAAACUCGGCAUCCUCUUCAAACAAACAAGGUGUAGUCUCUUCUGCUUUUGCCAACUCAACAGAUUCUGAUGCACUCACAGUGCCCUCAAGUGCAAGCUCACCAACAGUGCUAACUGAUGCUGUGCUUACAGCAGUUUCUGUGGAGUUUGAUUGAGUUGAAACAUCAGUAGAUCCAUCCACCUGAAUAUCUGAAGCUUCACGCCAACCUACCCAUUCAGGCAGC